CCGGACCACAGAAUAAAGAUCCAUACAGAAGGGCCACUUACGUCGGAAGCUUUGAAGUUUCUGUCCUCGCGCAUGUCGCAUUACGCAUGUUGGCCGCCAUUUUCCUAGCCAGUCAGUGACAUUUUCUGGCCAAUACACACGCUCCACCUUCUGGGGCCGGUUGUUCAAAAGCCGAUUAGCUUAAUCCUAGGUUAACUUAAACUUCAAAGCACACUUCCUAACAGCUCGUUUCUAAAUUUCGAAAUAUUUCUUCACAAAUCAUGUCUGGAUCAAUAGGAGUUUUCUUUUCUGACAUUUUGAAAUAAAUGGGCAUGUAGAAAUAUGCAAACUAAAAGAGCGGGUUACAUUUUAACCCUGGGUUAGCGCUAAUCCACCUUUCAACAACCGGCCCCAGGCCAGUAAACUGCAUAUUUUUCUGUUACUGAUCCUUUAUACUGUGAAUUCCACGGAAUAAAGAUCCAUACUGAAGGUCCUCGCGCAUUACGCAUGUCGGCCGCCAUUUUCCUAGCUAGUCAAUGACAUUUUCUGGUCAAUGAACACGCUCCGGCUUCUGGCUAUGCAGUAAACUGCAUAUUUUUCUG